UUGGCCAGGUUGUUCUGGUUGAA
rnacentral:snRNA from 1 species